rnacentral:rRNA from 1 species
GAUGAACGCUGGCGGCGUGCCUAAUACAUGCAAGUCGAGCGAACGGACGAGAAGCUUGCUUCUCUGAUGUUAGCGGCGGACGGGUGAGUAACACGUGGAUAACCUACCUAUAAGACUGGGAUAACUUCGCGAAACCGUAGCUAAUACCGGAUAAUAUUUUGAAUCGCAUGGUUCAAAAGUGAAAGACGGUAUUGCUGUCACUUAUAGCUGGAUCCGCGCUGCAUUAGCUAGUUGGUAAGGUAACGGCUUACCAAGGCAACGAUGCAUAGCCGACCUGAGAGGGUGGUCGGCCACACGGUAACUGAGGCACGGUCCCGACUCCUACGGGAGGCAGCAGUAGGGAAUCUUCCGCAAUGGGCGAGAGCCUGACGGAGCAACGCCGCGUGAGUGAUGAUGGUCUUCGGAUCGGAAAGCGCUGUUGUUAGGGGAGAACAAAUGUGUAUGUAACUGUGCACAUCUUGACGGUACCUAGUCAGAAAGCCCCGGCUAACUACGUG